rnacentral:miRNA from 1 species
CUCAGACAGAGAUACCUUCUCU